ACGCUCGACACCUACGGGGGGCAGCAGUAGGGAAUCUUCCACAAUGGACGCAAGUCUGAUGGAGCAACGCCGCGUGAGUGAAGAAGGUUUUCGGAUCGUAAAGCUCUGUUGUUGGUGAAGAAGGAUAGAGGUAGUAACUGGCCUUUAUUUGACGGUAAUCAACCAGAAAGUCACGGCUAACUACGUGCCAGCAGCCGCGGUAAUCUGAGCGGGCUGGCAAGGC
rnacentral:rRNA from 1 species